AGCUCCAAUAGCGUAUAUUAAAGUUGUUGCAGUUAAAAAGCUCGUAGUUGGAUUUCUGGCUGAGGUACUUGACCCGCCGCGGUUACGCGUGUGAGUGUCGGCGUGCCUCGGCCAUCCUUCUAGAAAUUGGCCCUGCCCUUCAUUGUGGUUGGGGUCAGGAUCUAGAUCUUUUACUUUGAAAAAAUUAGAGUGUUUAAAGCAAGCGUUGCGUGAAUACAUUAGCAUGGAAUAAUAACUUAGGACUUCGGUUCUAUUUUGUUGGUUUCUAGGACUGAAGUAAUGAUUGAUAGGGAUAGUUGGGGGUGCUAGUAUUCAGCGGCCAGAGGUGAAAUUCUUGGAUUCGCUGAAGACUAACUUAUGCGAAAGCAUUCACCAAGGAUGUCUUCUUUAAUCAAGAACG
rnacentral:rRNA from 1 species